AGUCGUACGAGAGUUUUAAACUCAAGUGGCGGACGGGUGAGUAACACGUAAGAAUUUACCUUUAGGAGGGGGACAACAGCUGGAAACGGUUGCUAAUACCCCAUAUGCUUUCGAGUGAAAUGGAUUUUUCCGCCUAGAGAGAAGCUUGCGGCUGAUUAGCUUGUUGGUAAGGUAAUGGCUUACCAAGGCGACGAUCAGUAUCUGGUUUGAGAGGACGAUCAGACACACUGGAACUGAGACACGGUCCAGACUCCUACGGGAGGCAGCAGUGGGGAAUUUUCCGCAAUGGGCGCAAGCCUGACGGAGCAAUCUCGCGUGAGGGAUGACUGCCUAUGGGUUGUAAACCUCUUUUUUCAGGGAGGAAUUAAUGACGUGUACCUGAAGAAUAAGCAUCGGCUAACUCCGUGCCAGCAGCCGCGGUAAGACGGAGGAUGCAAGUAUUAUCCGGAAUCACUGGGCGUAAAGCGUCUGUAGGUGGUUUAAUAAGUCAACUGUUAAAUCUUGAAGCUCAACUUCAAAAUCGCAGUCGAAACUAUUAGACUAGAGUAUAGUAGGGGUAAAGGGAAUUUCCAGUGGAGCGGUGAAAUGCGUAGAGAUUGGAAAGAACACCGAUGGCGAAGGCACUUUACUGGGCUAUUACUGACACUCAGAGACGAAAGCUAGGGUAGCAAAUGGGAUUAGAUACCCCAGUAGUCCUAGCCGUAAAC
rnacentral:rRNA from 1 species